rnacentral:rRNA from 1 species
GAUGAACGCUAGCGGGAGGCCUAACACAUGCAAGCCGAGCGGUAUUGUUUCUUCGGAAAUGAGAGAGCGGCGUACGGGUGCGGAACACGUGUGCAACCUGCCUUUAUCUGGGGGAUAACCUUUCGAAAGGAAGAUUAAUACUCCAUAAUAUAUUAAUUGGCAUCAAUUGAUAUUGAAAGCCCCGGCGGAUAGACAUGGGCACGCGCAAGAUUAGAUAGUUGGUGAGGUAACGGCUCACCAAGGCGAUGAUCUUUAGGGGGCCUGAGAGGGUGAUCCCCCACACUGGUACUGAGACACGGACCAGACUCCUACGGGAGGCAGCAGUGAGGAAUAUUGGUCAAUGGGUGCAAGCCUGAACCAGCCAUCCCGCGUGAAGGAUUAAGGUCCUAUGGAUUGUAAACUUCUUUUGUAUAGGGAUAAACCUACCCUCGUGAGGGUAGCUGAAGGUACUAUACGAAUAAGCACCGGCUAACUCCGUGCCAGCCGCCGCAGUAAAAC